rnacentral:rRNA from 1 species
AUUGAACGCUGGCGGCAGGCCUAACACAUGCAAGUCGAGCGGAUGAAGGGAGCUUGCUCCUGGAUUCAGCGGCGGACGGGUGAGUAAUGCCUAGGAAUCUGCCUGGUAGUGGGGGAUAACGUCCGGAAACGGGCGCUAAUACCGCACGUCCUGAGGGAGAAAGUGGGGGAUCUUCGGACCUCACGCUAUCAGAUGAGCCUAGGUCGGAUUAGCUAGUUGGUGGGGUAAAGGCCUACCAAGGCGACGAUCCGUAACUGGUCUGAGAGGAUGAUCAGUCACACUGGAACUGAGACACGGUCCAGACUCCUACGGGAGGCAGCAGUGGGGAAUAUUGGACAAUGGGCGAAAGCCUGAUCCAGCCAUGCCGCGUGUGUGAAGAAGGUCUUCGGAUUGUAAAGCACUUUAAGUUGGGAGGAAGGGCAGUAAGUUAAUACCUUGCUGUUUUGACGUUACCAACAGAAUAAGCACCGGCUAACUUCGUG